UACUGAAAUUUAGCAUGAGGGCAGCCUAUUGUGCUCUUGUUCCAUUUAUGAGUUAAAGCUCUUCAAGGCUACUACUGCUAUGAGAUUUCUCUAGCAAAUUCUACAUCCUUGAGCUAGCAUGAUGUUCUAAACAAGGGCAGAGAGUGUGCUUGUGUUAUUUUGAUUGUGCUUCCUAAGUUGUGGUGCCUCUAUAUGAUGAUAUGUAAAGCUAUUGGGGAAGGAAGAUGGAGGUGUAUUACCUCUGGAAAAUCGAAGGAGAGGCUGUCUUUGAUGCUUUUCUCCACUUGUUCCACCCUCUACUCUCGGUUUAUGCUGAGAUUUUGAAGUGUGUGUGAAAGGAAGUUGAAUGUGUUGUGGAGGAAAUUUAUAGGCUAAUUGUGGUGUACUAUGGGGAAUUAAAUGGGGCUGUUGUAUCACUUGUUGUUAUGCUGCAGAAAAUCCCACUUUAAUGAUCCCAUUGCCCCUCCUUCUUGGCUGCAAUUUGGCAUUUUAUAUGGGCACCUAGUACUUGGCUAGCAAUUUGAAUCGUUUGAUUGUGCAGUGAGCAGGUGGCUGUUGUGCCAAGGGUGUUGCAGGGCUGACUUUCCUCUUAUGGUGAUUCUUUGGGUCAUCUAUAACUAAAGAAGGUUGUCUCCAUCCCUAAGGUCGAGACAAGCUUGGUUGCCAAGCUGCUGGCUGUCUGGAACAGUUGAUACCUCGGCCCACGGCUGACCGGAAAACGGGCCGCGACUAUCGGCCCGGGAGGAGAGACCGAUUCUAUUCGAUUAAUGCACAUUUUAUCCUUUCC